rnacentral:rRNA from 1 species
UAGUGGCGAACGGGUGAGUAACACGUGGGCAAUCUGCCCUUCACUCUGGGACAAGCCCUGGAAACGGGGUCUAAUACCGGAUAAUACUUUCUCUCUCAUGGGGGAAGGUUAAAAGCUCCGGCGGUGAAGGAUGAGCCCGCGGCCUAUCAGCUAGUUGGUGGGGUAAUGGCCUACCAAGGCGACGACGGGUAGCCGGCCUGAGAGGGCGACCGGCCACACUGGGACUGAGACACGGCCCAGACUCCUACGGGAGGCAGCAGUGGGGAAUAUUGCACAAUGGGCGAAAGCCUGAUGCAGCGACGCCGCGUGAGGGAUGACGGCCUUCGGGUUGUAAACCUCUUUCAGCAGGGAAGAAGCGAAAGUGACGGUACCUGCAGAAGAAGCGCCGGCUAACUACGUGCCAGCAGCCGCGGUAAUACGUAGGGCGCAAGCGUUGUCCGGAAUUAUUGGGCGUAAAGAGCUCGUAGGCGGCUUGUUGCGUCGGUUGUGAAAGCC